GGCUCGGUAACUGUCACGCCUACAAGGCAGAGCCGAGAGAGGACCCUGAAGAUCCGGAUGGGCUGCCUCUCUUGGUUCCUGGACCCAGGACGCUGAAGAAUUACGUUGUUCCAGAUGAAGAUGAGCAUUUCUCUCUCUACCUCUAAAGUCCAUGGCCUCUGAGAACGGAUGAUGGUUUACAGUUCUCUGACUCUUCCAAUUGAAAAGCUGUCCAUGUUAACUCUACCACUGUUGCUGGAAAAGGCUGAAGAUGGUGUAUGGAAGUAUCAGACCAGUGUGAGAAGAAACAACGCUGAUCCAAGGAAACUAUGGGUGAUGUGUGUGCACGUCCCAGAAAACACACCUAUGGUAAAAAGUACAAUAAUCCAAAAUCUAUAAGGCCUUGUUUCAGUCCUGUGAAGAAGAGGCCAUACCUGAAAAUGCCAGACUCAGACCCUAACCACUGGAAACAAAAUGAGAGACUGAAAUGUAUUUCAGCUGGUGGAGUUCAUGCCCAGCAAGGGUGAAUCCCUGGGUUCCAUCAGCACCGUGCAUACAUGAGACAAGUUUAAGGCCUGCCUGGGCUACGAGAGACUCUGUCCAAAAGCAAAAAGGUGAACAAAAAAUGUGAAAAUGAAAAAGUAAGAAAGAAAUAGGUCAAGGAGCAUCAGUCAAGUGAGCCUCAUACCUAGUAGGAAAGGACCCUAUUACUUUACAUGCUAGGAGGGAAGUACUGAGUAGGGAAAACAAAUCCACACAAGAGAUGGCCAAGUCAACAGGCUGACAGCUUUGAAUUGUAGACAAGACAGGAAUUUUAUCCCCUGAUACUUCAUAAGAAAUAAGAAAAAAAUAAAAUAAAAACCUGAAAUUUCAAAUGAGUUCAACUAAAGCCCAAUGUUGUCUGAAAAUUGGUGAGUUUCAGUAGCUGUCAGACAUUUUCUACCUACAAGAAACUGUAUUUAUAAGACUGAAUCUAAAAACAAUAUGUGUAUGUAAGAGGAAAUAUUCAGUCUGAAAAUAGUAACAAAUGUGAUAGUUAAUAUUGAUUGUCGACAGAACCUAGACUUGCCCUUGAGCUAAGCCUCAUGCAUAAGUCAUACCCAUGAGGGGGUUUUCUUUAUUAACUGAAGUGAAAACACCCACUCAGAAUAUGGAUGACGCCUCGGGCAGUGGCCUAAAUAUGAAGCGGUCACAGGCCUUUUGCCUGCUUGUGUGUUGUUCUUAAGCUCAUCUACUCCAUCAGCCUUCCUCUACCCUGCAAACGCGGCUGCUUCUGCCAUUCUGUGCUGACACCAGACUCCAGGUUCUUUGGCAUUCCAGGGUGGAUUGAAGACGAGGAAGUCUCCAGAAAUUCCCCAGGCCUUCAGCACAAGAUUGGAACUGCUGAAGUACCGAGCCUCACAGACUGAGCUAUUGACAGGUUCUCAGACUGUCCAGUGUGCACACCACUGUGAGUGGACUGACUACCCAGAUCAUAUUGUGCAAGGCAAUCUAAUAAAACCUCUGUUAAUAUUCA